rnacentral:misc_RNA from 1 species
AACGCACGAGACCUGCGGACCUGCGGAGGGAUCAUUACCGAGUUUACAACUCCCAAACCCAUGUGAACAUUACCAUGUCGUUGCCUCGCAGGCCCCCGGGACUGCUGAGGACCCUAACUCUUGUAUCCCCAGAGUGGUAUUUUCUGAGUGGAUUAAGCAAAUAAUUAAAACUUUCAACAACGGAUCUCU